rnacentral:rRNA from 1 species
UACGGGGGGGGCAAGCGUUGUUCGGAAUUACUGGGCGUAAAGGGCUCGUAGGCGGCCAACUAAGUCGGAUGUGAAAUCCCCAGGCUCAACCUGGGAACUGCAUCCGAUACUGGAUGGCUUGAAUUCGGGAGAGGGAUGCAGAAUUCCAGGUGUAGCGGUGAAAUGCGUAGAUAUCGUUUGGAACGCCAAUGGUGAAAACAGGUAACUGGGAGUGUGCCGACGCUGAGACACGAAAGCCAGGGGAGCGAACGGG